UACGGAGGGAGCUAGCGUUGUUCGGAAUUACUGGGCGUAAAGGGCGCGUAGGCGGCACUGUUAGUCAGGCGUGAAAGUCCUGGGCUCAACCUGGGAACUGCGCUUGAUACGGCAGAGCUAGAGGAUGGAAGAGGGUCGCGGAAUUCCCAGUGUAGAGGUGAAAUUCGUAGAUAUCGGGAGGAACACCAGUGGCGAAGGCGGCUUUCUGGACAUUUACUGACGCUGAGACGCGAAAGCGUGGGGAGCAAACAGG
rnacentral:rRNA from 1 species